GCCGCCAUGGUGAAAUUGGUAGACACGCUGCUCUUAGGAAGCAGUGCUAAGCGCAUCUCGGUUCGAGUCCGAGUGGCGGCA
rnacentral:tRNA from 1 species